rnacentral:rRNA from 1 species
CUUUCCCUCUGUCGGCAGGCCUAACACAUGCAAGUCGAACGGUAACAGGGAUCAGCUUGCUGAUUCGCUGACGAGUGGCGGACGGGUGAGUAAUGUCUGGGAAACUGCCUGAUGGAGGGGGAUAACUACUGGAAACGGUAGCUAAUACCGCAUAACGUCGCAAGACCAAAGAGGGGGACCUUCGGGCCUCUUGCCAUCGGAUGUGCCCAGAUGGGAUUAGCUAGUAGGUGGGGUAACGGCUCACCUAGGCGACGAUCCCUAGCUGGUCUGAGAGGAUGACCAGCCACACUGGAACUGAGACACGGUCCAGACUCCUACGGGAGGCAGCAGUGGGGAAUAUUGCACAAUGGGCGCAAGCCUGAUGCAGCCAUGCCGCGUGUAUGAAGAAGGCCUUCGGGUUGUAAAGUACUUUCAGCGGGGAGGAAGGGAGUAAAGUUAAUACCUUUGCUCAUUGACGUUACCCGCAGAAGAAGCACCGGCUAACUCCGUG